GUGCUACUGUUUUGUGUUCUCAUUAACAGUUGGAAAACAUUUUUUUUAUUAAUCCAGACUUAUUUUUUUUGUCUCUGUUACAGGUUAUUACUCUUGAGGAUGUAAUAAAGGGAAUGAAGGUAUAAAAUUGCUUGAACUCUUAUUUAUUAUGGCAACUUUCCUUAACCAAAUUGCUAUGGUCUAUUAUUGUUGCAGAUCAUGAGGGAGACUUUGAUAUAUUUGUCACAUCUUGAUCACGAGGACACGGAAAAGCUGAUGCUAAAGAAGCUAAGCAAACAAUUAAGUGGCGAGGAUUGGAAUUGGAACAACUUAAACACAUUAUGUUGGGAAAUAGGGUCUAUAUCUGGUUCGAUGAUGGAAGAACAGGAGAACAGAUUUUUGGUUAUGGUCAUUCGUGACUUGCUGAAUUUAUGUGAAAUC